rnacentral:misc_RNA from 1 species
UCUCCGUUGGUGAACCAGCGGAGGGAUCAUUACCGAGUUUACAACUCCCAAACCCCUGUGAACAUACCAUUUGUUGCCUCGGCGGUGCAUGCUUCGGCAGCCCGCCAGAGGACCCAAACCCUUGAUUUUAUACAGUAUCUUCUGAGUAAAUGAUUAAAUAAAUCAAAACUUUCAACAACGGAUCUCUUGGUUCUG